UACGGGGGGGGCAAGCGUUGUCCGGAUUUAUUGGGCGUAAAGAGCUCGUAGGUGGUUCGGUAAGUCGGAUGUGAAAUCUCCAGGCUCAACCUGGAGGGGUCAUUCGAUACUGCCGUGACUAGAGGUCGGUAGGGGAGUGUGGAAUUCCUGGUGGAGCGGUGAAAUGCGCAGAUAUCAGGAGGAACACCCGUAGCGAAGGCGGCACUGUGGGCCGAUACUGACACUGAGGAGCGAAAGCGUGGGGAGCGAACAGG
rnacentral:rRNA from 1 species